rnacentral:tRNA from 1 species
AAACGGGAGAAGCCCCGGAGCCCUUUAAGGGGCUCUUCUUCAAAUUUGCAUUUU